UCUUGGAAGUAAAAAGAAAAAUCUACCAGAGUACUAUGAAUAAAUGUUUAAAACUCAAAGAGCUUGGCGGUGCUUUAGACUUUUCAGGGGAACCUGUCUUAUAAUCGACAAUCCACGCUAUACCUGACCCUUUCUCGCACACAAUUUGUAUACCGUCGUCGUCAGGUAACUUUUAAAAAUUUUAAUAGUUAGCAGAAGAGUUUAUAUAAUAAACUUAAACGUCAGAUCAAGGUGCAAUCAAUGAAAGGGGCAAGAUGGGUUACAAUUACAAAAUAGUAAUACGAAAAACUAGUUGAAAUACUACUUUAAAGGAGGACUUGAAAGUAAAUUAUUCAUUACAUAUGUAUAUUAGUUGAAUAAAGCUCUGAAGCGUGC
rnacentral:rRNA from 1 species